GCGGAUUUAUUCCGUGACUGCGUACCUUUUGUAUAAUGGGUCAGCGACUUACUUCUCAGUUGCAAGGUUAACCAGUAGGGGAGCCGUAGGGAAACCGAGUCUUAAAUGGGCGAUUAGUAGCUGGGAGUAGACCCGAAACCGGGUGAUCUAUCCAUGGCCAGGGUGAAGGUUAGGUAAAACUAACUGGAGGCCCGAACCCACUUAUGUUGAAAAAUGAGGGGAUGAGCUGUGGAUAGGGGUGAAAGGCCAAACAAACCCGGAGAUAGCUGGUUCUCUCCGAAAUCUAUUUAGGUAGAGCCUCAUGUAUUACUUCAGGGGGUAGAGCACUGUUAUGGCUAGCGGGUCGUCAAGACUUAGUAAACCAUUGCAAACUCCGAAUACCUGAAAGUAUAAGCAUGGGAGACACACUGCGGGUGCUAACGUCCGUAGUGGAAAGGGAAACAACCCAGACCGUCAGCUAAGGUCCCAAAAUUGUAGUUAAGUGGGAAACGAUGUGAAAAGGCCCAGACAGCCAGGAGGUUGGCUUAGAAGCAGCCAUUCCUUUAAAGAGUGCGUAAUAGCUCACUGGUCGAGUCGGUUUGCGCGGAAGAUUUAACGGGGCUAAAACUACAUACCGAAGCUACGGAUCAUAAUUUAUUAUGAUGGUAGGAGAGCGUUCUGUAAGCCGUUGAAGGUGUCCUGUGAGGGAUGCUGGAGGUAUCAGAAGUGCGAAUGCUGACAUGAGUAACGAUAAAGGGGGUGAGAGGCCCCCUCGCCGAAAGCCCAAGGUUUCCUGCGCAAUGCUAAUCAGCGCAGGGUUAGUCGGCCCCUAAGGCGAGGCAGAAAUGCGUAGUCGAUGGGAAACAGGUUAAUAUUCCUGUACUUCAUAUAACUGCGAUGGGAAGACGGAGAAGGUUAGCUCAGCAAGGCGAUGGUUGUCCUUGUUCAAGCGUGUAGAAAUGGUUCUUAGGAAAAUCCGGGAACCUCUAUUUCAAGGCGUGAUAACGAGCCCUCUUUUGGGCGAAGUGAGUGAUACCAUGCUUCCAGGAAAAUCCUCUAAGCUAUAGGUUAUAUGAAACCGUACCCCAAACCGACACAGGUGGACGAGAUGAGAAUUCUAAGGCGCUUGAGAGAACUCGGGUGAAGGAACUAGGCAAAAUGACACCGUAACUUCGGGAGAAGGUGUGCUCUUUGUAGGUGAAAUCACUAGCUGAUGAAGCUGAAAAGAGUUGAAGAAACCAGGUGGCUCCGACUGUUUAUUAAAAACACAGCACUCUGCAAACACGUAAGUGGACGUAUAGGGUGUGACGCCUGCCCGGUGCUUGAAGGUUAAUUGAUGAGGUUAGGAUUUAUCCGAAGCUUUUGAUCGAAGCCCAAGUAAACGGCGGCCGUAACUAUAACGGUCCUAAGGUAGCGAAAUUCCUUGUCGGGUAAGUUCCGACCUGCACGAAUGGCGUAACGACGGCCACACUGUCUCCACCCGAGACUCAGUGAAAUUGAAAUUGCUGUUAAGAUGCAGUAUACCCGCGGCCAGACGGAAAGACCCCGUGCACCUUUACUACAGCUUUGCAUUGAACUCUGAUCCUACCUGUGUAGGAUAGGUGGGAGACUUUGUCUCCACCCGAGACUCAGUGAAAUUGAAAUUGCUGUUAAGAUGCAGUAUACCCGCGGCCAGACGGAAAGACCCCGUGCACCUUUACUACAGCUUUGCAUUGAACUCUGAUCCUACCUGUGUAGGAUAGGUGGGAGACUUUGAAACUUUAACGCUAGUUAGAGUGGAGUCAUCCUUGAAAUACCACCCUGGUAUGGUUGGGGUUCUAACCUUGGUCCGUUAUCCGGAUUGGGGACAAUGCAUGGUGGGUAGUUUGACUGGGGCGGUCUCCUCCCAAAGAGUAACGGAGGAGCGCAAAGGUACCCUCAGCACGGUCGGACAUCGU
rnacentral:rRNA from 1 species